rnacentral:tRNA from 1 species
AUAAGCAUAGUUCAAUUGGCAGAAUAACAGGCCCCAACCCUGUAGAUUGCGGUUCGAGUCCGUGUGCUUAUG